AUAUUAUCAUCUAGCCUUUACCCCUCUCUAUUAUACACUUACGUUGGUGAACUGAAUUGUAUUGAAUUGAGUAUCCAUUGUCCAUUUAAAUUCUUUUUUACUGGUAUUAUUUACAAGUAAUGGAUUUACAAAUAGAUAUAAACUUGAUGGGAUGUACUCUUGUAAGUGUUUGUAUGUUUUGUUUUUGUUUGUCUGUUUAUUUUGAUAUAUUAAUGUCAGCCAACACAUGAUUUUAGGUACUGUAUUUGGAUUUUGACAAAAGGCAAUUUCCUAGAACAAAUAAACUGAUUUAAGGUCUAUCUGCAGCCAUGCCAUACAAAUAAUAUGGUAACAUAUUGUCGGUCAUGUACCGUAUCAGCAUAAUGACAUUAUUUUUGACUGUCUUAUAAUGAGCAAUUUGUCUGUAUUUUAAAUCACAGUGCCUCAACGUUAGAGAUCUUCUUCAAGGAAUCGACCAUGCCAUGUACCCAUUUUCAAGAGAUCAGUUCUGAGUGGAUAGAAGAUGGAUGACUCGGAGCAUAUCCUGCAAAAUGUCCAUUUUGUACACAGAGUACAGAGUACACAGAGCCGUUCUUACCAAACAGCAUAAGGCCUGUCAUCUGGUAGUUCUGUCUUCAAGCCGUCACUCUUCGUCUUAUCAAGUGGUGUUAAACUUAGUGCUCAGCUUUACAGGCCAAACUUAUCUGCAAUCACAGAUGUGUGCUUCCCUUGUUCCAAGUUAUCGCAGUUGACCAGUAUUUGAAAACUUCUUGGGUGGUAUUCUGAGUAUGAUUUUAUCUCUAAAAUCUUUUUAGUAUGCGUAUAGUAACUUCCGGUAGUUCACGGAAUCAAAUCAAAUCCGUUAUUUUACCACUAUCCAUAUUACUGUAUAAGAAGUCACUAACAUAUGCCAAUGCAGUAUUAGUGGAAUAACCCUUCCGGAAACAUGAAUUGGUAAGAGUAAGCAAGUCCGAAUCCAACAAAUAGUCAUGUAAACUAGGUGUGCACAGUCUUUUCUAAACACCUUCAUGAUUGUUGGUAGAAUCGUUAUCAGAUGAUAUUCACAUCUGUAUACUGUAUAAUUGUAUUCCAUUGUCUGUGUUCCCACAUUUGUGAAUGGGGGUAAUCCUGGCCUGCUUCCAUUCUUCAGGAAUUACUCCUAAUUAGAGAGAUAGAUUAAAAAGUUUGGUGAUUGUUUUUUUGUUGAUAGGUGCAGCCAAUUUUAAUAACCUAUAAUUAAAGGAAACCUCACCCCAAAGAAUAAG